rnacentral:rRNA from 1 species
CGGUAAAAGCUCAAAUUUGAAAUCUGGCUCUUUUAGAGUCCGAAUUGUAAUUUAGAGAAGUGUUAUCCGUGCUGGACCGUGUACAAGUCUCCUGGAAUGGAGCGUCAUAGAGGGUGAGAAUCCCGUCUUUGACACGGACUGCCAGUGCAUUGUGAUGCGCUCUCAAA